GCCAGAGGGGCCUGCGGGAGACCCAGGGUCGGACCAGUAGGAGUCCUGUCCUCAGGACCUCCUUGAUCGGUCUUCUGCUUCGGUUCCCGGUGGAGGAGGAGCUUCAGGGUGCCGGCUUGGCUGUGCGGACUCCUCUUCAGAUCCGACUAUGGAUCCCACCGGGUGAUCGGGAAUGGGGUUGCAAUGCAGUGAGGCGGGAAGGGUCUCGCUGGGGCACAGAAAGAUCCCCAGGGCCGCAAGGCGUGCUGUCGGCGGAAAAUGAACUGACCCACGAGCCCACUGCCUCCCUCCUUCCUGGGUGGAGCAGUGGCCUGCCUUCAUCUCCAAGGCCCGGGGGCUCGGGCAUCCCGACACUGCUUUCCACGACACAUGCAAAGACAGACAGAGGCGAGUCUGAGAUGGAGCCAGUGUGACCACCCGUGGCACUGACGUCGCCCAAGAGCGGAUGGAGUGAGCGGGUGUCUUUGAGGCCGUAGGGGGCGUGGCGAGACGGACAAUGAUGUCCAGCCGUGCGCCCGUGGGCCACGGGAGACCUCGGCCACAAAGCUGAAGAAAAGCCAAGCGCAGCUGAAAACUUGCGAGACAGGGCCUGCGACCGAAUCCAAGCCACAUUCAGGGAUGCCUGCCAGAGGGGCCGAGAGGUUUCCACAAAUUUCACCCCACUCCCACCCCCACCCUGCCACCGGGUACGUACCCGUGAUGCCACCUCCCCUGCACCCAGCAAAACCCAGUCCCUUUGGCUCCCUGACAUCCGUGGCAGCCAGAAGAUUCAGCGCUAGAAGCCUCUUUUCCCAGGAGCAGAGGAACCCGAUGGCCCUCAAGAAUCAGAGAGGAAGUGCAGGUGGCAUGCCACACUGCCUUUCCUAGAAGGCAAAUGUCAGGAAUGGUCGGGUUGCCUCCCGCUCUUCCUGGACGGACCACGCAGCCAUCACUUGGGCCACAGAGACCCAGAAAGCUUCCCUGUCCCAGACAGCUAUAGAAGCCCAGAGCUCCAGGAUCACCACACCUGCCCAAUCAUGCUUAAAGAGGUUUGGAGAGGGAAACAAUCAUGACACCGACCCCCAGGAACUUUCUCCCGGAUGGACUGGGAAGUCUUUUGGGUUGAAGACAUUGAGGCAGACCAAGAAGCCCCUAGGCUUCUCAGAAACAGGGCAGGCAGAGCAAGAGGGAGGACAGAGCAGAGGCCAGAGCCCAGGCAUGACUGGCGGCAAUCCCACAACCAGGGCCAUCCAGGGAGGAGUGCCAAAUGGGUGACUUUGCCUGGAAGGCCAGUGUCAGGCCUCUGAGCCCAAGCCAAUCCAUCGCAUCCCCUGUGACUUGAACAUAUACACCAGAUGGUCUGAAGUAACUGAAGAUCCACAAAAGACAUCAAAAUAGCCUUAACUGAUGACAUUCUACCAUUGUGAUUUGUUCCUUCCCCACCCUAUCUGAUCAAUGUACUUUGUAAUCUCCCCCACCCUUAAGAUGUUUCUUUGUAAUUCUCCCCACCCUUGAGAAUGUACUUUGUGAGAUCGACCCCUGUCCGCAAAACAUUGCUAUCAACUUCACCACCUAUCCCAAAACCUAUAAGAACUAAUGGUAAUCCAUCUCCCUUUGCUGACUCUCUUUUCAGACUCAGCCCACCUGCACCCAGUUGAAAUAAACAGCCAUGUUGCUCACACAAAGCCUGUUUGGUGGUCUCUUCACAUGGACGGGCAUGAAAUUUGGUGCCGUGACUCGGAUCGGGGGACCUCCCUUAGGAGAUCAAUCCCCCAUCCUCCUGCUCUUUGCUCCGUGAGAGAGAUCCACCUAUGAGCUCAGGUCCUCAGACUCACCAGCCCAAGAAACAUCUCACCAAUUUCACUUCCGGAACCCACUGGAAAUCGGACUGUUCAACUCACCUGGCAGCCACUCCCAGAGCCCCUGGAACUCUGGCCCAAAGCUCUCUGACUGACUCCUUGGCUUAGCGGCUGAAGAUUGAUGCUGCCUGAUCUCCUCGGAAGCCCCGUAGACCAUCACAGACGCCGAGAUUUUGGUAACUCUCACAGUGGAGGGUAAGUCCGUCCCCUUCUUAAUCAAUACGGAGGCUACCCACUCCACAUUACUUUCUUUUCAAAGGCCUGUUUCCCUUGCCUCCAUAACUGUUGUAGGUAUUGACAGCCAGGCUUCUAAACCUCUUAAAACUCCCCAGCUCUGGUGCCAACUUAGACAAUAUUCUUUUAUGCACUCUUUUUUAGUUAUCCCCCUCUGCCCAGUUCCCUUAUUAGGCCGAGAUAUUUUAACAAAAUUAUCUGCUUCCCUGACUAUUCCUGGACUACAGCUGCAUCUCAUUGCCGCCCUUCUUCCCAAUCCAAAGCCUCCUUUGCAUCCUCCUCUUGUAUCCCCCCACCUUAACCCACAAGUAUAAGAUACCCCUACUCCCUCCUUGGUGACCGAUCAUGCACCCCUUACCAUCUCAUUAAAACCUAAUCACCCUUUUACCCCACUCAAUGUCAAGAUCCCAUCCCACAGCAUGCUUUGAAAGGAUUAAAGCCUGUUAUCACUCACCUGCUACAGCAUGGCCUUUUAAAGCCUAUAAACUCUCCUUACAAUUCCCCCAUUUUACCUGUCCUAAAACCAGACAAGGCUUACAAGUUAGUCCAGAAUCUGCGCCUUAUCAACCAAAUUGUUUUGCCUAUCCACCCCAUGGUGCCAAACCCAUGUACUCUCCUGUCCUCAGUACCUCCCUCUGCUACCCAUUAUUCUGUUC
rnacentral:lncRNA from 10 species